GGGGGUAUAGCUCAGUUGGUAGAGCGGUCGUCUCCAAAACGACAGGCCAUGGGUUCAAGUCCUAUUGCCCCCGCCA
rnacentral:tRNA from 1 species